rnacentral:ncRNA from 1 species
CCCGUGUGAAUCUGGCGGGACCACCCGCUAAGCCUAAAUAUUCCCUGGUGACCGAUAGCGGAUAGUACCGUGAGGGAAUGGUGAAAAGUACCGCGGGAGCGGAGUGAAAUAGUACCUGAAACCGUGUGCCUACAAGCCGUGGGAGCGUCGGAUGGAAGCUUGCUUCCAUCUCGUGACUGCGUGCCUUUUGAAGAAUGAGCCUGCGAGUUUGCGGUGUGUUGCGAGGUUAACCCGGGUGGGGAAGCCGUAGCGAAAGCGAGUCCGAAUAGGGCGUUUCAGUAGCACGCUCAAGACCCGAAGCGGAGUGAUCUAGCCAUGGGCAGGUUGAAGCGGAGGUAAGACUUCGUGGAGGACCGAACCCACCGAGGGUUGAAAACCGUGGGGGAUGACCUGUGGUUAGGGUGAAAGGCCAAUCAAACUCCGUGAUAGCUGGUUCCUCCCCGAAAUGCUAUUUAGGUGCAGCGUCGUGUUGUUUCUUGCCGGAGGUAGAGC